CCCUGCCUCCCUUUUUAAAUUUUGUUUUUACUUUGUUUUUUUUUUAAAUUGAGAUAUAAUUUACACACAGUGAAAUUCAUAGAUUUUAACUGGACAGUUCAAUACGUUUUGACAAAUCCUACCCCCACCAAGGGCGGCCUCGGCCCGCUCUCUGCCCCCCCACCCCGCCCCUUCCUCCUCUCCACCGCCUCUGGCUGGCUAGGCUCGCUGUUGCUACCUCUCCUCGCAGAUGCAACGAGGUAAGGCUUGUUUGCGGUGCCAGCUGAAGGUGGUGAGGGGGGAGCGAAGCAGUGUGGCCGAGGUGGGAGGCAGC
rnacentral:lncRNA from 1 species